UGGCAAAAUCAAGUAUCUGAAAGACUGCAAGCUUUGGGUAAGCGUACAGGUGUUGGAAUGUCUGAGAAUAAGAGAACCGUAGCAUCUCCAUAUUCAGCUUCAGUUUCCUGCAAUAGUGGAUGGAAGCCCAUCUGUGAAACGGGAUGAUGUUGGUG